rnacentral:rRNA from 1 species
UCGAGCGAAUGUAUAAGUGAGGGUAACCUUAUUUAUACAUGAGCGGCGGACGGGUGAGUAACGCGUGGGCAAUCUGCCCUCUAGCCUGGGAUAACAGUUCGAAAGGACUGCUAACACCGGAUAAUGAGCCUCGAUGGCAUCAUCGAGUCUUUAAAGUUUACACUAGAGGAUGAGCCCGCGUCCCAUUAGCUAGUUGGUGAGGUAACGGCCCACCAAGGCGACGAUGGGUAGCCGACCUGAGAGGGUGAUCGGCCACACUGGGACUGAGACACGGCCCAGACUCCUACGGGAGGCAGCAGUAGGGAAUUUUCCGCAAUGGGCGAAAGCCUGACGGAGCAACGCCGCGUGAGGGAUGAAGGUUUUCGGAUCGUAAACCUCUGUCUUCAGGGACGAUAAUGACGGUACCUGAGGAGGAAGCCACGGCUAACUACGUGCCAGCAGCCGCGGUAAUACGUAGGUGGCAAGCGUUGUCCGGAAUUACUGGGCGUAAAGGGCGUGUAGGCGGCCUUUUAAGUCAGACGUGAAACCCCUGGGCUUAACCCAGGAACUGCGUUUGAAACUGAAGGGCUUGAGGACCGGAGAGGGUAGUGGAAUUCCCAGUGUAGCGGUGAAAUGCGUAGAUAUUGGGAGGAACACCAGUGGCGAAGGCGACUGCCUGGACGGCCCCUGACGCUGAGGCGCGAAAGCUAGGGGAGCAAACGGGAUUAGAUACCCCGGUAGUCCUAGCCGUAAACGAUGGGUACUAGGUGUGGGAGGUAUCGAC